GGCUCAGAUUGAACGCUGGCGGCAGGCCUAACACAUGCAAGUCGAACGGUAACAGGAAGAAGCUUGCUUCUUUGCUGACGAGUGGCGGACGGGUGAGUAAUGUCUGGGAAACUGCCUGAUGGAGGGGGAUAACUACUGGAAACGGUAGCUAAUACCGCAUAACGUCGCAAGACCAAAGAGGGGGACCUUCGGGCCUCUUGCCAUCGGAUGUGCCCAGAUGGGAUUAGCUUGUUGGUGGGGUAACGGCUCACCAAGGCGACGAUCCCUAGCUGGUCUGAGAGGAUGACCAGCCACACUGGAACUGAGACACGGUCCAGACUCCUACGGGAGGCAGCAGUGGGGAAUAUUGCACAAUGGGCGCAAGCCUGAUGCAGCCAUGCCGCGUGUAUGAAGAAGGCCUUCGGGUUGUAAAGUACUUUCAGCGGGGAGGAAGGGAGUAAAGUUAAUACCUUUGCUCAUUGACGUUACCCGCAGAAGAAGCACCGGCUAACUCCGUGCCAGCAGCCGCGGUAAUACGGAGGGUGCAAGCGUUAAUCGGAAUUACUGGGCGUAAAGCGCACCAGGCGGUUUGUUAAGUCAGAUGUGAAAUCCCCGGGCUCAACCUGGGAACUGCAUCUGAUACUGGCAAGCUUGAGUCUCGUAGAGGGGGGUAGAAUUCCAGGUGUAGCGGUGAAAUG
rnacentral:rRNA from 1 species